GGAAGUAAAAGUCGUAACAAGGUUUCCGUAGGUGAA
rnacentral:rRNA from 1 species